rnacentral:rRNA from 1 species
AAACCAACAGGGAUUGCCUCAGUAACGGCGAGUGAAGCGGCAAAAGCUCAAAUUUGAAAUCCCCCGGGAAUCGUAAUUUGAAGAGAUUUGGGUCCGGCCGGCAGGGGUUAAGUCCACUGGAAAGUGGCGCCACAGAGGGUGACAGCCCCGUGAACCCCCUCAACGCCCUCAUCCCAGAUCUCCAAGAGUCGAGUUGUUUGGGAAUGCAGCUCUAAGUGGGUGGUAAAUUCCAUCUAAAGCUAAAUACCGGCGAGAGACCGAUAGCGAACAAGUACAGUGAUGGAAAGAUGAAAAGCACUUUGAAAAGAGAGUGAAAAAGUACGUGAAAUUGUUGAAAGGGAAGGGCUUGCAAGCAGACACUUAACUGGGCCAGCAUCGGGGCGGCGGGGAGCAAAACCACCGGGGAAUGUACCUUUCGAGGAUUAUAACCCCGGCCCUUACUCCCAUACUGCCCCGAGGCCUGCAAUCUAAGGAUGCUGGCGUAAUGGUUGCAAGUCGC